GACGAAACGCGAAGGAGAAGAAGAAAGGAGAAGAAAAAAAAAAAAAAGAAAGAAAAAGAUUUAGCCGUCCGAUUCCAAUUCCGACUUGGGUGUACGUUGGAGGAGAUUUGGGUGAAGUUAUAAAAUCCAGAAAGUAUCGGUAGGAGGUACGCAUGGCACCUCCGGGACAGGGGACGUCUCGGGAGAUAGAAAGACGGGCUGAAUGAGUGAACUGCAUCUGAUGUAUUAUAUGUAAAUUCUAACUAGAAAAACCUCCCGUUUUGGGAGUAUGUUUUUGUAAAUAUUUAUAAACUUGUUUUUUGGAAAUAAUAAAAUGCUUAUAUAAUUAAUUUUAGCCUUAACACUGUGUUGUGGGGCCCGAAGUAGGAGGUGACGACCUCAUGAUGCAGUGUGGCGGUAGCAUUUCCAGUAUGAGCCAACUGGGGGUGUUACAAGUAAAGUAGAGAAUUGAUAAAAUUUUCCAGAGUGUCUUUGAAAAAGCUUGCCCGUGAUCAUUUCAGUAUAAGCUUUUCCUUGACAUCCGGCCUACAAUGACAGGGAAGAAAAAUCGCAGUGAUAGUGAACGUAACAC